UCUGAGUAAAGGAGAAACGUGGCUGAAGCAGCGUUUAGUGUUUAGCGUACCGUGUAUUCCCCCGGUUUCUCUGCCAAGUUUUCCCAUUAUUUUAUCGGUCUCGCGAAUCAGACUCGUUUGAUGUGAAACUUCGCUGAAAGUGGGGAUUAAGACGAAGCUCAGAACCGUGGCCAAUAUCGUUCGUCAGAGCUGCUCUGUUGCUCUCGUGAGAUACGCGGGUUCCCCGUACAAAACAUUAUAUUUGCUUUAAACGGCCAGACGUUUUUGAAAUGAAACGGCACACGUCCACUUUUAUAUUUUGGACUUAGCCGCGUAUUUGCGCUCUGAUUAUGACCGCCUUUGAAAGCGGAUUUACCAUGUAAUCACAAAAAAAGUCUAGAAGUGCAGCUGAUUGAGGGAUUGAGGCGGUGACCCUGACAGAGAAGAAUUAUGAACGAUGCGGCUGACCUGGAAAAGGUAACUGAACAAUGGACAAGCUGAUGGCAUCACAAUGCAGCGGCUCCUCAACUGUGGGUCGAGGGCCCACAGUACCGUUGGAUCAUGGGCGGCGGUGUCGUAUAAUGG